UGGGGAAUUUUUGGACAAUGGGCGAAAGCCUGAUCCAGCAAUGCCGCGUGUGUGAAGAAGGCCUUCGGGUUGUAAAGCACUUUUGUCCGGAAAGAAAUCCUUGGCUCUAAUACAGUCGGGGGAUGACGGUACCGGAAGAAUAAGCACCGGCUAACUACGUGCCAGCAGCCGCGGUAAUACGUAGGGUGCAAGCGUUAAUCGGAAUUACUGGGCGUAAAGCGUGCGCAGGCGGUUUGCUAAGACCGAUGUGAAAUCCCCGGGCUCAACCUGGGAACUGCAUUGGUGACUGGCAGGCUAGAGUAUGGCAGAGGGGGGUAGAAUUCCACGUGUAGCAGUGAAAUGCGUAGAGAUGUGGAGGAAUACCGAUGGCGAAGGCAGCCCCCUGGGCCAAUACUGACGCUCAUGCACGAAAGCGUGGGGAGCAAACAGGAUUAGAUACCCUGGUAGUCCACGCCCUAAACGAUGUCAACUAGUUGUUGGGGAUUCAUUUCCUUAGUAACGUAGCUAACGCGUGAAGUUGACCGCCUGGGGAGUACGGUCGCAAGAUUAAAACUCAAAUGAAUUGACGGGGUCAUAGCUGUUUCCU
rnacentral:rRNA from 1 species